rnacentral:rRNA from 1 species
AGUGAACGCUGGCGGUAGGCCUAACACAUGCCAGUCGAACGGCAGCACAGUAAGAGCUUGCUCUUACGGGUGGCGAGUGGCGGACGGGUGAGGAAUACAUCGGAAUCUACUUUUUCGUGGGGGAUAACGUAGGGAAACUUACGCUAAUACCGCAUACGACCUACGGGUGAAAGCAGGGGAUCUUCGGACCUUGCGCGAUUGAAUGAGCCGAUGUCGGAUUAGCUAGUUGGCGGGGUAAAGGCCCACCAAGGCGACGAUCCGUAGCUGGUCUGAGAGGAUGAUCAGCCACACUGGAACUGAGACACGGUCAAGACUCCUACGGGAGGCAGCAGUGGGGAAUAUUGGACAAUGGGCGCAAGCCUGAUCCAGCCAUACCGCGUGGGUGAAGAAGGCCUUCGGGUUGUAAAGCCCUUUUGUUGGGAAAGAAAAGCAGCAGGUUAAUACCCCGCUGUUCUGACGGUACCCAAAGAAUAAGCACCGGCUAACUUCGUG